GAUGAAGAACGUAGCGAAAUGCGAUAAGUAGUGUGAAUUGCAGAAUUCAGUGAAUCAUCGAAUCUUUGAACGCACAUUGCGCCCUUUGGUAUUCCUUAGGGCAUGCCUGUUCGAGCGUCAUUUAAACCUUCAAGCUCAGCUUGGUGUUGGGUGACUGUCCGCCGCCUCCGGGCGGUCGGACUCGCCUCAAAUUGAUUGGCGGCCGGUACUUUGGCUACGAGCGCAGCAGAAACGCGAACUCGAGGCCGUCGUCCUGGCUCCCAGAAGCUAUCUUCACAAUUUUGACCUCGGAUCAGGUAGGGAUACCCGCUGAACUUAAGCAUAUCAAUAAGCGGAGGA
rnacentral:misc_RNA from 1 species